rnacentral:rRNA from 1 species
CGAACGCUGGCGGCGUGCCUAACACAUGCAAGUCGAGCGAGGGGAGUUCUUCGGAACAAACCUAGCGGCGGACGGGUGAGUAACACGUGGGCAACCUGCCUCAUAGAGGGGAAUAGCCUUCCGAAAGGAAGAUUAAUACCGCAUAAGAUUGUAGCUUCGCAUGAAGCAGCAAUUAAAGGAGCAAUCCGCUAUGAGAUGGGCCCGCGGCGCAUUAGCUAGUUGGUGAGGUAACGGCUCACCAAGGCGACGAUGCGUAGCCGACCUGAGAGGGUGAUCGGCCACAUUGGGACUGAGACACGGCCCAGACUCCUACGGGGAGGCAGCAGUGGGGAAUAUUGCACAAUGGGGGAAACCCUGAUGCAGCAACGCCGCGUGAGUGAUGAAGGCCUUCGGGUUGUAAAGCUCUGUCUUCAGGGACGAUAAUGACGGUACCUGAGGAGGAAGCCACGGCUAACUACGUGCCAGCA